rnacentral:lncRNA from 1 species
CUCGUGCUGAAGGACUGUAAGUGUGAAGCCGUGUUUCUUCCGAUCUGCGUUCAACCGAAGCCUCAAUGCUAGGUAUGUGGCUAAUCUAAUCACUGCAGAGGAGAGGAAUUGUAGAAAUUACGUGAGAAAAUUGCAAGGUAGGUUACUAAGAUGGUGGUUUCUGGUGGGGUUUGAAAGGGGCUUACUUGCGUUGGUUGAUUGCAACAAAGGAAGGAUAACAUCCAUGACCUAUUUAAAAGGGAUGUUUGGUGGUCAUAAAAAAAAAGCAAAGAUUUUUUUUUAAUGCAUGUCUUCCAAUGUCUAUUAUUUUUUUUUUGUUCCGUUGCAACGCACGGGCAUUUCAGCUAGCGACAUCUAUAAACUAUUCCACAUCCCCUUAUCUGCCAUAUCUGCACUAAAAUGUCAGGAACUAUAUGAUUUCCUCAAUGAUACGACAUCUGAUGGCAAGGACAUAUGGGCUCUUGACGUAUUGGGGUGGAGAACGCUUCAGAACUGAUAAAGUAUAUAGAGCUAUGCUUAACUCUGAACCUGUUGCUCGCCCUUUCAGCUGUAUUUGGAAAUCGGCUUGUCUCUCCAAACAAAAGUUCUUUUUAUGGCUACUCAUUCUAGACAGGCUCGACACCAGAGACCUUAUGAUGAGAAAGAAUUUCUAUGUUGAAGACAAUAACUGUGUGCUAUGUGAUGAGGGCAUCGAUGAAAGUAUGACAAUCUUUUCUUUGAAUGCAACUUCGGUCAGAGCUUUUGGUGGAAAUUAGGCAUGGAAUGGAAUCCAGACCUACAACUCUUUAACAUGCUUAUGCAAUCAGGGGCUCAAAACCAGAAUGUCAUAUGCUUUAAGGAAGUACUUAUCUUGGGAUGUUGGUCCUUAUGGAAUCAUAGAAAUCAUAU